UCUUGAGCCCGUUAUUAAGGUAUAUGAAAAAUAUUUUCACAAGUAUUUAUUUAUUUUUAUUUUUUUUUCAUUCUAUUUAGUUAUUUGUCUAUUUAUUUAUUUUAUUGGGCCUCAAGCCCAAUAAUAUUUAUCUGUGAGUUAUUAAUUUUUCUUGGGCCUCCAACCCAAAAUUUGGUGAGAUCAAUGUUGGCCCAAAAUUUGGAGAUCAGUGUGGGAAGCUGAAACAUGCGUGUGUGUGUGUCUGUGAGAACUGUAAUAUUUUCCUUUCUCUCCAAGUCUAACUGUACAAGAUAUUUUUCACAAAUUUGAAGCUUUGGCGUUGUUUCAACCACGUCAAUCCAUCUACCUUCAUAAAUUACCUCAACUUUUCUUACACUAUUCCAGCGCAAGAGUCACUUCCUCAGGCUGCGGUAGGAAGCAAUCAACAUAAAUUCCAGCUGAGAAGAGGGGGAGGUUGUCGGAGGCCCGAUGCCGGGCUGACGAUGAUGCGGCGGCCGGCGCCGCAUGGGUGGUGGCAGCCCGUGGCUGCUCACGGUGAAGGCAGGCGAGGCGGCGCGGUUUGAGGCAGGACGGUGCAAGGCGGCACCCGACGCCGCUGAACUCGGCCGAGGCAGGCGAGCGGCGGCGGUGGCGUUUCCUCCAUGGCCGUCUGCCUUCGGACACGGGCGCGAGAAUGGGGGAGGCAGAUGGGAGGAUGGUGAGAGAGGGAGGUUGACGAGCAAGGGAAGGGUGGUGGCCGGCGACGAUCUCAUCGGGAAGAGGGGUGGCGGCGUGACUGGUUAAGAGAGAGGGUGGUGAGAUAGGGAAGGCGACGAGUGGGGGGAAGACAUCGGAGUCGGCGAUUAUCGCCGAGGUAGGAGCAGGCGGCGGCGGAUCUUGGAGGGAGAAGAGGGGCGGUGAUUUUGGGAGAGAGAGAGAGAAAGAGCCGAUUUUUUUUAAGAGUGGGAAAGUGAGAGAUGUGUUUAUAUUAUUUCUUUGUUUUAGUUUGACCUUUUUUUUCAAAUGGGUCUUUAGUUUUGGGCUCUCACUUAUUAAAAUCAAUGGGCCAAUUUAUAUUAAUCAUAGUGGCUGAUUCAUUUCAUUUA